rnacentral:rRNA from 1 species
GACGAACGCUGGCGGCGUGCUUAACACAUGCAAGUCGAACGGAAAGGCCCUGCUUUUGUGGGGUGCUCGAGUGGCGAACGGGUGAGUAACACGUGAGUAACCUGCCCUUGACUUUGGGAUAACUUCAGGAAACUGGGGCUAAUACCGGAUAGGAGCUCCUGCUGCAUGGUGGGGGUUGGAAAGUUUCGGCGGUUGGGGAUGGACUGGCGGCUUAUCAGCUUGUUGGUGGGGUAGUGGCUUACCAAGGCUUUGAAGGGUAGCCGGCCUGAGAGGGUGACCGGCCACAUUGGGACUGGGAUACGGCCCAGACUCCUACGGGAGGCAGCAGUGGGGAAUAUUGCACAAUGGGCGGAAGCCUGAUGUAGCAACGCCGCGUGCGGGAUGACGGCCUUCGGGUUGUAAACCGCUUUCGCCUGUGACGAAGCGUGAGUGACGGUAAUGGGUAAAGAAGCACCGGCUAACUACGUG